GCCGCCCCCGCAGCCUGAAAAGCGCCGCGGCGACAGGGGAGAGAGGCUGGGGCGACCGAGGGGCUGCUUAGCUCAGCCCGCCUUCCCCUCACCCUUUUCUGCCGCAGCCGUGCCGGAGAGGAGUGUGGGGCUGCCUGGAGCAAGGGCGUGCGGCGCUGAGGAGCUGCUGUAGCCUUUGUGGUAGUUCAACUGAUGCCAGUGAGGGCUCAGAGUGGAUACUGUAAGCUUUUUGGAAAGUGUAUUUGCUUAAUAGAAUAUCUGCAGCAGGUAUGAAGCAAAGUAAAAUCUGGUGGUGUUUUUAAAGCACCUUGUAGCUGCUGCCUUUCAUGCAAGAUUUCUGAAUUGCUUUAGAGAAAACUCCUAAACCUGUGUGCCUUAAUGAAUAAAGACAAGCUUCCUGGAUACCGUAAAGAUUAAUACAGUUAGAUGCAAACCAAAUAGAAGAGAUUACAAAGUAAUAAAAGUUGUUUUACUACAAGUAGAGAGCCACAGGCAGUUUUACUCAGACUGUGUCACUGUAACAGGACUGGCUGUAAGGUAUAAAAUGUAUUUCUGACAUUUGGCAACUUUGUCUUCCCUGUGGAAAGAAGAACUUGUUACUGGGGAAUUAUUUGUCAUAUGUGAAGAAAUAGACACGAGUUGUGGAAACAAAAGGCAGUCUGUAAUGAUGCAAAAUUCAAAGCUAUGAUUAAUAAAAGUUGAUUUGAUACUAGCUGUGUAGUUCCUCAAUACUGUCAACCUUUAUAUAUCUGUGAAGCAUGUUUUAAGAUCCAUGUCCUGUGCAGAUGUUCAAGG
rnacentral:lncRNA from 1 species